GAGCUAGUGGCGGACGGGUGAGUAACGCGUGAGAAUCUGCCUUCAGGAGGGGGAUAACGACUGGAAACGGGCGCUAAUACCCCAUAUGCCUCCGGGUGAAAAGUAAUUCGCCUGAAGAUGAGCUCGCGUCAGAUUAGCUAGUUGGUGGGGUAAGAGCCUACCAAGGCGACGAUCUGUAGCUGGUCUGAGAGGAUGAUCAGCCACACUGGGACUGAGACACGGCCCAGACUCCUACGGGAGGCAGCAGUGGGGAAUUUUCCGCAAUGGGCGCAAGCCUGACGGAGCAAGACCGCGUGGGGGAUGACGGCCUAAUGGUUGUAAACCCCUUUUCUCUGGGAAGAAGACUGACGGUACCAGAGGAAUCAGCCUCGGCUAACUCCGUGCCAGCAGCCGCGGUAAUACGGAGGAGGCAAGCGUUAUCCGGAAUUAUUGGGCGUAAAGCGUCCGUAGGUGGUUAUUCAAGUCUGCUGUCAAAGCGUGGGGCUUAACUCCAUAGAGGCAGUGGAAACUGAGUGACUAGAGUGCGGUAGGGGUCGAGGGAAUUCCCAGUGUAGCGGUGAAAUGCGUAGAUGUUGGGAAGAACACCAGUGGCGAAAGCGCUCGACUGGGCCUGCACUGACACUGAGGGACGAAAGCUA
rnacentral:rRNA from 1 species